UGAAUGUUAAUGGAAUUUGUGCAGAAAACAGCCAAAAGCCCCAUGUAUAGCUUAUAUAGCCAUCCUAGGUCGAGCACAUCAUGCCCAACAUAUGGAAUAAGAGGCUUUGGUAUUACGAUAGUUGUAUGUCCAGCAUAAGCCAUCAACAAUGGAAGCGCAGCAAUUGAUGGUAGGAGUAAUUUCACUCUCCAGGGUACGUCAAGGACAUCAUCCACGAAUCCGAGUAGAGUCAUGAAGCAGAUGCAUGCUAGUGCUGCGUUGUACUCUACAAGCCAAUUGGAAUCUGCUGUGAAGUUAAAAUACUGAAAUAUGAUUGCCAAUACCAAGAAGACUAUCCCAACAACAAUACCUAAUGACUCAGGCACUUUAAUAGUUCCCUGAGGGGUACCCUUCUUGUUAAUAUCAUAACCAAAAAGAUUCCUCCUCAAAACGUAUCGAGAAGCUACAGGAAUCAUCUUAACGGUCAAGAAGAAUCCUGCAAGGCUAAGGGCAGCAUUGAUGAGGAUUGAUCUUUU
rnacentral:misc_RNA from 1 species